AGCUUCACACAGUGGCAUUAUCAUAGCCAAUGAGGUUUAUCUGAGGUGCAAUUAUUGCUAAUUGAAAAAACUAAUUGUUCAACUUC
rnacentral:snRNA from 1 species